ACACAUCAUCAUUGUGAAGUGUUGAGUUGAUUAUUGUCUUCUCAGCAGGCUACAGUAAUGGAUACGGCAGUGAGGUUUAUGGCACAGCAGAUGGUUAUGGGGCAGGACCUGCCUACCCAUCAGUGUUAGCUGAUAAUGUUGGCCUGAACGGUAUAGCUGGUCUUGGAGCUGGAGGCCUUGGAGGUCCAGGGCUGGUAGUGAACCCUGGCCUGGGUAUUCAUGCCAAGUCUAGAAAGUAUGGGGCAGGUGGAGUUCUUGGAGCUGCCGGAUCCUUGCCUUACGGUGGCCAGCCUGUGGUCUCAGCUGGACUUGGUCCUCACGGCAAGACUGGUAGUUAUGGUGGAGCUACAUAUGGAGG
rnacentral:lncRNA from 1 species